AGUAAAAAUAGAUGGGUUAUUUUUUUUAACCCAAUAGAUGGGUUACACAUAUUGGGUCACUGUGUUGGGUUAUUUUCUAAAACGUUGGGUUAUUUUUUUUAAACAUCGUUGGGUUGUUUUUAAUAAUAACCCAGCGUUGGGUUUAAUUGGUUCCCGCGGCGACAGUUCAAAUUUUAACGGUCGACAGUGUCUGACCACAGAAGAAGCUGCUGCUGCUGCAUCAGUGUGAGGUAAGUAAUAGGGUUUAAAUAACUCUUAUAACAUUAUACUUAUACGAAGAACGUGAAAUGCACUUCAAAAUUGAACUUUUGUUGUUGUAUGUUUGUUUUUUUUUUAACGAAGAUGUAGUUUCCUUUAGUCAGUGUAUUGUAACGUUACUGCGGAGAAUGAGCUCCAUUGUAAACGAAUAACGUCACGUUAACUUAGCUGUCCCAGUUAGGUUGCUAGCAGUAAUAAAUUAAAUAAACAUUAGCAGAAAGUUGUAAAACUGUUUAGAGAUGUAUUACAGUAACCUAAAGUUAAUAAUGUAUGGUGGAAUGUAUACAGGACUACUUAUAUUACUGAAAUCACCGUCUACCAUUACUACAGGUUUAGUAUUAUUUUACAGCUGAUGAAGGGUUCUAGACAUACGGUUUCUGACUACAGUUUGUUUGGUCGCAUUAAUGGUUAUCACAUUUAACUUUAUAUGGGAAAUGGCUAAUGUUAAAUGAGACAUUGUUGAUUUAAACCGCGCCGCACGAACCUUUCAACUUCGGUCCAGUAUGUAACCUUAGCUCAGCGGCAGCUCAGAGAGAUGCGCUCAAAUUCAGUUAAUUCUCUGUUUAGAAAAGUCUACAAAUAAUCACAUUUCCCAAAAGCAAGACGUGAUGGGAGAAACGAAGCUUUUCAAAGUUUCGAAUCAAUUAAACGAAUCGCUUAAUUCGCAAAAUGAUUCACUGCUUCCAAUCGUUCGUGACACAACGGCGACGCCUGCUGGUCAAAACAAGGCAAGCGUCAGUUGUUUGGAAAGCGAGCACUAAUUGGAAUAACACUAAAUGUGUUUUUAUGGUUUAUUUAUAUUGAAUAUUGUUAUGCAUAUAUUAGAUUCGCCUCUAAUUACAGCCAUUUCUAUUAUAAAGCUAUGACAGAUUUGCAUGUUUUUUUAAAUGUGUACUAAAUGUGUUUAUACUUAUUUUUAGACAUUGGGUUCUUCAGUGAAGGAAAAAUUACAACAGUGGAAUCUCAUACAUUAAACAUCCACAUGCCAAUUAACUGAAAUAUUUCAAGAGGAAGGAGUCAAUGAAGGAAGUUUUAUGCGACCGGAUGACACCAGCAUUGCUGCACUAACUCCAAGAGAAGAAGUUUUUAGCAUUUUCAACGGUGAAACAGUGGAACAGAAGACCUUACUACAAGCAGUGGAUCUGUGUUUCAGACAUUUCUACAUUUAUGACAUCUACUACCCAAAGCUCCUCUGCACCCAUUUGCAGCACACAGUCUUUAAUAUUCCAGGAGUUCUUUCAACACAUUACCUCUUCCUUAGAAACUUUGUAUUUAUUGAUCCGUAAAACUUUUUAUGUUGCUGAUUAUCAGCAAGUCCAGCAGCCAGCAGAUUUACUUUGUUUUAUUAUUAUUAUUAUUAUUAUUAUUAUUACUUGUGUUUAUGAUUUUUUAUUUUUGUUUUAUUGAUAAAAGUUUGUAUGUUAUGUUUGUUUUAUUUGUGCACAUUUGUGUAUGUGUUGAUAUAAAUAAAUAUGAAUUGAUACACAUUUAUGACCCUGGACAACAAAACCGGUCAUAAGUAUCAUGGGUACAUUUGUAGAAAUAGCCAAAAUUGCAUUGUAUGGGUCAAAAUUAUCAAAUUUUCUUUCAUGCCAAAAAUCAUUAGAAUAUUAAGUAAAGAUCAUGUUCCAUGGAGAUAUUUUGUAAAUCUCCUACCAUAAGUAUAUUGAAACUGAAUUUAUUAUUAGUAAUAUGUGUUGCUAAUAACUUCACUUGGACAACUUUAAAGGCAAUUUUCUCAAUAUUUAGAUUUUUUU